AAAGAAACAAUGAGACAACUUAUAGGAAACAAAUACAGAAACAUUACAUUCAGAUCUAAACAAAAAGAAACAAUGAGACAACUUAUGAGAAACAAAUGCAGAUAUAAUUUGCAUUUACAAUGUCCAAUAACAUGCGUUGUGCCUUGAAAAUAAGACAAAAGUACAGACAAAUAAACACCGAACAUAGCCUCAGAAAUGAAAGUCACCAUAACUAUACAGAUAACAGUCACCAAAACCAAAGGGAUGAAAGGCUGAUUAGAGAAGCUAUAGAGCUUUUUCAAUUACAAACAAAAAACGGGCCAACAUAUGUCUGCACAGUUUGCCAUAGAGCAUUAUUUUCAAAUCAAGUUUGACGCUGCAACAAGUCAAACUACGUUAAAGAUCCACAUGUUGCUGAACCUUGCCUUACAGGGAGGUUUGUUCAUGUUUGCACUGAUGAAUGUAAAAAAACACAACAGUGUACCAGAUGAGAGAAAGCGAGAGUGGAUAUCUUACACUUGCCACGAUCACCUAAAAAAUGAUAGCAUGCCAUCCCUUGCUAUGGCUAAUAAUUUAGAACUUGCUGAUAUUCCACCUGAACUAAGUGCUUUAAACAUAUUGGAAAGGCACCUCUCUGCCAAAUGCAUACCAUUUGCAAAAAUUAUCACACUUCCCAAAGGUCGACAAAGAGCCAUUCAUGGCAACGGAAUAUGUGUCCCUUCAGAGGUGCAAGAAACAGUUGAUGCCUUACCUCGACUCAGAAGUGAAUCUCAAGUCAUGAGAGUAAAGCUAAAGAGACGAUUGUGCUAUAAAGGCCAUCAAUUGUUCCAAACUGUAAACUGGCCUAAACUAGUGAGAGCUCUGCUUAAAGAGGUCCAUCCCCAUUACGAAGACAUAACAAUCAGAGAUGACCCCGAGUUAUGUGAUCCAACAUUUCCUGAUGAGGAAGAUGACACUGAUGAGGAAGACAAAAUGGAUGAUAGUGAUUAUAAUGUUGAAGAUUUCAUGGAAAUUGACAGCUUUGAGAACAAUGUGCUUUGCGAGGCAGAAAGCAUUCCUGAAAACGCUGAACAGGUUAUUGACGGUCAAUCAUGUGAUGACGAUCAUCCACAGCAGCAGUCAGACUACAUGCAACAACAUGGUGAUGAACCUAAUGGCGGUAUUGCUUUAGAAUCUUGUCUACAGCCAACUGAUAUUUCAGAGGAGAUAUUAAGCUUUAGUGAGGGAAUCUAUUCUGUUGCGCCUGCUGAAGGAAACAAACCAGUGAGCUUUUUUAAAACCCCUAAUCUUGAGGCCAUGGCUUUCCCUGUUCAGUUUCCCACUGGUAAAAACACACUAGAUGAAAACAGGUUUAGGAGAUUAACACCUUGCAGCUAUUUCAAAACUAGGCUUUGUUGUGUCGAUGACCGAUUCGCUAAAGAUACAAACUUCUUGUUCUUUGCGCAGUUUGUAACAGAAAUGUACCAAGCCACUUCCAGCAUGACAAUACAGUUGCGUAAAGGCAGGCCCUUUACCCGAGAUGGCCGCAGAAUAAACAAUGCAAUGUUGCAGGACAAACAGGAGCUUGAAAGAUUAGUGCGUAACAGAGAUGCAAUUCGAUUUAUGACCCCACUGAGAGGCACGCCAGCCUACUGGGAAAAAACAACGAAAGAUGUGUUUGCUAUGAUUAGACAGUUGGGAACUCCUACGUUCUUUUGUACAUUUUCUGCUGCCGAAAUGCGUUGGAAAGAGGUUAUUACUGCUAUAAAGAAUCAACAAGGUGAACAAGUCAAUUUUGAUGAGCUCGACUGGUCUUCCAAGUGUGACAUAUUAAGAAGCAAUCCUGUGACGACAAUGCGCAUGUUUGACAAACGUGUUGAGGCGCUUUUCAGAGAUUUGAUCCUUUCACCUGCACAACCAAUUGGCAAAGUUGUGGACUACUUUUACCGGUUGGAAUUCCAGAACCGAGGAAGCCCACACAAUCACUGUCUCAUAUGGGUGGAUAGAGCACCUGUCUUUGAAGUAGACUCUGAUCAGAAGGUGUGUGAUUUUGUUUCCAGGUACUUCACAGCUGAGCUGCCUGAUCCAAUCACACAACCCGAACUGUACAAAAAAGUAACAGAAGUUCAGAUGCACAGCAAAAACCAUUCCAAGACUUGCGUUAAAUACAGUGAUUCUAAUUGCCGUUUUGGAUUUCCCAAACAACCUGCCCAAGCAACCAUGAUAAUAAGACCAGGAGAUAAUGUAAUGCAGAAAAAGAAGCAGCAGCAUUGACCAAGCUCACGACACUGAAACUGUUGCUUAAUGAACCUGAAAACACAAAUCUCAGUUUGCACCGACUUUUGGCUCUCUGUGAGCUCACCCUUGACGAAUAUAUUGAAUGUUUGUGUAUGACAGCCAAAUCCAGUUCGGUGAUAUUGAAGCGCGAUCCUAAAGACAGUUGGGUAAAUGGCUACAAUCGUAACCUCCUUGAAGCCUGGGACACCAAUUUAGAUAUACAGUUCAUUCUCAACGCUUACUCCUGUAUUGCAUAUAUGUGCAGUACAUUAGCAAAGCCGAACAUGGUUUAAGUGAAUACCUGAAAACAGUAACACAAAACGCGCGUCAUGAUAAUGUCAAUGAAAGCGAUGAAACGAAACAAGUUAUGCAGGCGUACUCCAAAAAAAGAGAGAUCAGUGCUCAAGCGUGUGUGGCACGUGUAUGCGGUCUACACAUGAAAAAGUGUACACGCAGUGUCGUAUUUCUACAGACAGACGGCAAUGCGCUUAAAAUUAGUUACCCCCGCUCGUUCCUAGAGAACAAAACACCAAACUCCAUUAAUGUGUGGAUGAGCGGGUUACCCGAUAAGUAUAAAUCUAGACCUGAAACACCAGAAUUUUAGGCAAUGUACUUUGCCGAUUUUGCUUCCACUUGUAGGAUUGUCUAUGGAAAACAAACAAAGGGAAAAAAUGUUCUUCCUCUGCUGAAUGAGAUGGGAUACGUUCAGAGGAGAACAAACGGUAAACCUGCUGUCAUUAAAUAUUGCAGCUUUUCAGAGGAAAAGUUUCCUGAGGAAUUUAAUUGCACAUUGCUUAAACUCUACCUCCCUCAUCGCUCUGAGUCACAGCUGAAAAGUAGUAAUUUCCCUACUUAUAAGUCUUUCCAUGACUGUGCUGGCGUCCAGCUACCAGGUGCAGGUUACCCUGAAGCCGUGUCUGAAAUUGUCAAACGAAAUAGAGAGAAAUAUGAGAAACACAGGGAAGACAUUGAAAGUGCAGUCGAAGAGUACGAACAAAACGGUGGCAUAAGAAACGAAUGGUGAAACCUGCUCCAGAGAGUGAAUUACAAAGGUUAGAGUGUAUCGAAGAAAUUGAGGCAGCACAACCUGAUAAUGAUGACCUACAAGAGAAUGUACCAGAAUAUAAUACUAGGUCAGAAACUACAGGAACUACAAUCACGAGAGAGGCCCCUAACAUAGAUUCCACAUUGUUACGCCAAAUGUAUCAGAACUUGAACCAGAAGUAAGCUUCCGUCUUUUACACCAUCAGAGACUGGUGCUUAAAGCGUGUCUGUGGCUUAAACCCAGAACAGUUAUUCUUUUACAUUAAUGGUGGUGCUGGAACAGGCAAGUCCCACGUUAUCAAAUGCAUCCAUGCUGAGGCUUCCAAAAUAUUGGGCAGACUUCCGCGAUAUGCAGAGGAAGCAGAUAUAUCUAAACCUACUGUCCUGUUAACCGCAUUCACUGGCACUGCAGCGUUCAACAUUUCAGGUACAACAUUGCAUUCUCUCCUCAAGCUGCCAAGAAGUCUAAAGCCUCCGUUCCAAGGCCUUGGCAAUAAACUAGAUGAAGUUGGGGCUGAGCUUUCAAAUGCUGAAAUAAUAAUUAUUGAUGAAGUAUCUAUGGUCUCAAAGUUUCUCUUUGCCUACGUGGAUGUGAGAUUGAGGCAAAUCAAAGAAAUUCAGAGACCUUUUGGUGGAAUGUCAGUCCUUGCUGUUGGAGAUUUCCAUCAGUUACCACCUGUUAGACAGUCUAAACCUCUUUGCGUAUAUGAUCUCACUCAACUCGACCUCUGGCAUCAGCAUUUUUAUAUGAUCACACUCACUGAGAUUAUGCGUCAGAAAGAUGAUGUCCUUUUUGCUGAGAUGCUAAACCGUAUCCGUGUCAAAGGAAAGUCAGAUGGAUUUUCAGAGGAAGACAGAGCUUUGCUUUCACAGGCUAUAAUUGAACCGGCACACUGUCCAAAGGACAUACUGCACAUUUUUGCUACAAAUAAACAGGUUGAUGCACACAACUCUGCAUCGUUAGAUCUGUUCCACUCAGACAUCGUGAAAAUAGAUGCAGAUGAUUAUAAAAAAGAUCUUAAAAAUGGUAGGAUGGCAAGACAUGCUAUACCUUUCCAAGGCACCAACAAAGAGUUACCGGACUCAAUAAAAGUUGCCAUAGGUGCACGUGUCAUGAUUACCAGAAACAUUGACGUACAAGCUGGUCUGUGCAACGGAACUUUCGCUCAAAUAGCACAAAUAGUGACUAGUGAAGGUGGUCCACACGUCAGUAAACUUGGUCUAGAACUUGUCAAUGAAAAUGCAGGAAACAAACACAGUAGUACCGGUGCAGCUGAUAAUAUUGUGUAUAUAGACCGGGAGGAAGAGAAACUGAUGCAAAAGGGAGUGGUGCGCAGGCAGUUUCCCAUUAAGCUUGCUUUUGCAUGUACAAUACACAAGGUGCAAGGUAUGACAACUUCUUCAGCAGCAGUAUCACUGAAAAAAAUCUUUGAACCUGGAAUGGCCUAUGUAGCUCUCAGUAGAGUAACAUCUCUCAGCGGACUACACAUUUUAGAUAUGUAUGCGCAAUAUAUAUUCCAACCCUGAUAUUACCACAGGUCUCGCUAACAUGAAUGAAGCUUCAUUAGAGCGCAUAAUGCCUCUACUUCACGUCACAACAACGUUAAACAGGCCAGAUACGCUAACAGUCGUCCAGCAUAACACAGCAGGACUGCCAUCUCAUAUUGCUGAAAUCAAAAGUCACCAUGAACUGCUUCUGGCAGAUGUCUUAUGUCUAACAGAGACUCACCUACUAGGAUCCAUUGUUUCAGAAAGUCUCCAUUUAGAAGGCUCACAACAUGUUUAAACGCAAUAGAAACGUCUCAUACACAAACACUCCUCACAUGGCCAACAAAAACGGUGGCGGAGUUGCUAUCUAUGUGAGAAGCCAUGUCCAAGUCCGUGAAAAGCAGUACAUACAAAAUGCUACUGAUAUCAAGUUCACAGUCGUCAAGCUCGAAGCUCCUAUCAAUGCGUUGAUUGCCGCUGUCUACAGGCCUCCGGGCUACAGCGUCCUCUCAUUUUUAUCAAACUUGCAAAGCCUCUUAGAUGCACUGGAAAUAAUGGAUCAUCAUCCCAUCUUAGUUUGUGGAGAUUUUAAUGAACAUCUAUUGUCUAGAGCAAGCAAACCGAUACUAGAACUAUUUCAGUCUAAAGGUUACGAGCAACUCAUCACUGCUGCCACCACCAACAAAAAUACACUAUUGGACCCCGUUUUCAUCUCAAGAACACAGUACUGUCUCCAUUCGGGUGUGCUGCGAACUUAUCACAGUUAUCACAAUCCUGUGUACUGUAUAUUAACCCCUGAAAUAUAGGCUAACUCGUGAAUAUAACUCGUCACUUCAUGAAAUUCAAACUUUGCAAUAUUACAGUAUACUUGCGUUAAUGACUCUAAGCUAGUAUUGCAUGGAUGAAUAGAUUAAAAUUUGUAUUUACUUGAUACAUUUCUCAAAAUAUUACUUUUAUACUUAAACUUUAAAGAAGUAAUACUACAAUUGAGAGGUUGGGGGUCAUCCUUGGCAGCCAGGCUGUAAAAUCUGUCCUGGAGGAAGGGGACGACAUCACCAAAAAUAAAUAAAAAGGCUAACAAUUAUACCUGACUACUUUACACUUGGUUCAAACAGUGACAAAUGGUAAAAAAAAUAUUUUCAAAAUGUAGUUUACUAGAUCAUGACUUUUAGUUCACACAUACAAAUCAUCUUCCAACUCUUCAAUCUGGACCCAGGUACAUAGUAAGUGAACAAAACACUAUAGCGUAUGGACACAUUUAAUAAUCAUUGCCUUUAAUAAGGUAGAACUGCUCUUGCAUUUUUCUCGCUAUUUAUUUUCUCUGUGUGUGCACUACUGCUUUUACAGGCAACACUUUAAGCAUGACAGGCCAUGAAGACAUAUGAAGUCCAGCAACACUUCACAGUACUCUUCACUGCUGACCUGAAAUAUCCUACCUGGGGAACAGAGACACCAUGCCAAAAGGCCACUGCUUCACCUUUUAAAAUGGCUGGAACUGUACUUGCAGUCUACUAAAAGAGGUGAAGUUGGAUGCAUGUGAAAGAAGCAAGGCCAUCCUGAGAGAGCAGUGCCAAGCCAACAGAAAUACAAGAGGCGCACAACCAUGUGGCUGGAUCCAAGAAUUGUAAAACACCAUCCAAGGGGUUUUAUGCUUUAGUGUCUUCCUUCAACGACAAUUAGGAAGAAAAGUGAACUCCAGCAACACUUCACUGUGCUACAGUCGGAGGCUACAGCUACAGCAUACAAAUCUCUGGACCUGAACGAGAACCACAUGGACAGAGGAUCAGGAACAGAAGCAUCAGAGGCAGUGCUGACUCUGCAUGACUCUUUGCUGAGGUUUUCAAUGCUCCUCUUCAGGUUAACUCAUACAAAGUCAAAUGCUGCAUUGAGGGAGUGCUCUGCACCAAGAAGAGUUCAAGUCAACACAGCCGCUGCAACAGAAAGCAAUCAUUCCCGAUGCAGAGCCAGGUUUUUUAUGGAGUUUUUCCUGACAUGCUUUGAGGGUCAAAGGCUGAUGGUGCAAAGUACUUCAAAUAUGAUCAGAUCAUCAUGAGUGCUUUUGAUUGCUGAAGGAAUUGACUACUGGACAGCUAGCUACUAAAGUUGUCUCUCACUGGUGAGGAAGGGGAUGUUGACGAUGACACGGAGCUACCACCACCACCAUCACCACAGGACUGCAGCUCGCCGGUACCAUCUGCCUCCGUGUCAUCACGGCAAGCCAGACGAGG